UUUUAUAAUAUUAUCUAGAAAUGACUGGGAUUUAGAGCAUGUUUUCUUUUGGAGUAUUGUGCUCUCCUCUAAAGCAGUAUAAAAAACAUCAGAGAGAAGUAUAGAUUAUUAUUAGAACACAUGCUAUCAUAGGAAGUAGACAGAAUAGAGAAUCUAAUUAUUCAGGGUUCUAGUCUAUCCUUACUACAAGCUAAUCAUGUAUGUUUAUAGAUAAAGUCUCAGGGUUUCCCAACUUGUUCUUGAGAAAAAUCUUCUGAAAGAUAUUAAUGUACAUUUCAUUAAGAAAUGUUUCUGUAAUCAAAGAGUCAUGAAAGUUCUGAAUUAUAUCUUUGGUAUAGUCUUGGAAAUUCACCAUGAAUAUUUUCAUGUUAAAGGCUCUGAGAACUAUGGUAAGAAAAAUAAGCUGAUUUUAAAAAAAUCAACAUUUCCCAAACAUUUUUUGUUUAAAAACUCUCAUUUCUUUCUUUUCUUUUCAAAUUAUUUAACAUUUUCCUCAGGACACGCACCAAAUCUUUUAAGUGUUCUGCAAUAAUCCAGCUUAGGUAAUGUCAUACUGCCAGACUCCUAAGGGGUCUUUCAAACCCUAAGAGUUCAUGAUUCCUUAUAAAAGUAAUACCUCAGAAUAAAACAAGAGACCGAACUUCUAGAAUUUCCCUAAAUUUUUCUCAUAAUACAAUAUAAUCAACCAAUAAAAUGUAGAACUUUCUUUUGUCACUCAUCUCAACCCAAAAUAUGAAGACCUAGAAGUCACAUAAAUUUAAGAUUUAUUUUAAAACUCUGAUUAUAUAUAGGUAUAGAAAAACACUCAGAAAAAUAAGGGUAACAAGUUUGAGAAUAUAUGAUUAUUUUUCCUGAUUUUAUGCUGCAGUUUCCUCCUUUGAUACUCCCAACGAUGUAUUUGUUAUGAUGAUUUGGAAAGAAGAGAAGAAUGAUCAUCCAAAAUCAAAUGUCAGUGAAAGUUUCAUGAGGAAAGAAGGGUCUUUCAGUCUGCUUUUUGUUCUUGUUAUGGUAGAAGUGCCAUGGAUCCAUUUGAGACUCAAUCAUUUCUGGUACCAUAGCCUUUACCAUCUUGGCCUAGUUCCCUUUAACAAGAAAUUAGUGAGCCAUCUCUGUUUCUAGCUCUAGACUAGGCCCUAGCAAUGUGAAUAUGAGUAUGACAUAGUCCCUGUACCCUGUGGUAAAUACUGUGAUAGAUAAAUGUGCAGGUAAGGGCCCCAAACCCAGUAUGAGUUUGCACAGCUUGGGAAGAGAAAAUAGAAGAGAAAUAUAAUGCAACAAGAAAACCAAACUAAACCAAGGAAGAACCCUAAAGUAGAAACAAACAAAAUGUUGUCACUGGAAGACAGUGGGCACCCAAAAUAGGAAACAUGCUUUUUAUAGAAAGAAGAGCCAGAAAAACAAAUAUUAGUAGUUAAUGGAUCCAAUUUCAAGAACCUGUAUCAGAGAAACGUGGGUUUUAAGAGACAAGGGACCGUUGAAGCUUAUUAGCCAGUCAUUGUACAGAUAAGUACACCGAAGUUCAGAGUCACAAAACUGAUUUGUGGUAGGAAUGAAACCGCAAUCUACAACUUCUGACUUUAAACAUAUCUUUUUCCAUUGUGAAAUGAUUUAAGAUCCUGUGACUUUUUUUUUUUUAACUAUCAUACGUAAUUUGAUGUAAGUAGGCCCUUGUUUGUAGCUAUAGAAUGGGUUUCAUUCGGACUGCUUACUCUAAUGAGAUUUGAGUUAUAACCCAUUAAAUAGCAAUUUAAAGAAUUCCAUAUUAGAAGAAGUGGAGUUCUACUUGCAUACAGAGAAAAUGACAAGUAAUUCAAUAUACACGAAGCAGGGGAAUUCCUGUUGUGGUUUAGCAGGUUAAGAACCUGACACUGGCUCUCUGAAGAUACAGGUUUGAUCCCUGGCCUCACUCAGUGGAUUAAGGAUUCUGCAUUGCUGCAAGCUGCAAGGUAGGUCACAGAUGCAACUCAGAUCCUGUGUUGCUGUGCUGUUGCAUAGGCCUGCAAUUGCAGCUCUCAUUUGACCCCUAACCUGGGAACUUCCAGGCUGCAGGUGUGGCCAUUGAAAAAAAAAAAAAAAAGACAAAAACAAAAAACGAAGAAGGAAAAACUGAAAAUUGACCUUGUCUCAGAUGAUAUAUGGCAGCAAUGGGUAAAAAGGAAGGAAGACAUCAAAACUAAUUCAAUAUUUCAUUUUCAAGUGACUAGAAGAAUGUUGAUACCCUUGCCAGCUGCAAGUGGCCUUUGAGGGAAGGGAGGUAAUGCUGGUGUAGAAAACAGAAGGAAAACUGGAGAAGAGGGAUUUUCUGAAGCGAGAAUUGAUGCCCCUGACUAUGCACUGUGCAUAAUGAAUGAGGUAAAACAAAUUUAAAGGUUGUGAGAUGAGGGAAGGGCAUCUGGCUUGUUACAGAGAUGGAGGUCAGAGAAGCCUUUGGAAUAAACCUUGAACUUUGUUAUAACUGCUAUAAAUAAUCAUAAAAUGUUUGUCUAGAAGGAAUAUGGAAAGACAAUCAAGUUUUUUUCUGCCUCUUAAAAAAAUACCCCUGAGGCUUUAACAAUGGAUAAUAGAGAGUUUAUGGUUUUGUCAUACUUGUAAUAACUCUCCUUGAUAAAAUACUUGAAUAUCUAAUGAUUAUUUUGUUAAUAAAUUUCUCCACAUUCAGAACUCAAACCCCUCUUCUCUGUUUCUUCCAUUUUCUUUAAUUUGAGAAUAGGUCACCAACAAGCCCCAUUCCUCUCCCUAAAUGCAAUUUGGAGAGAAGCCCUUUUUAGCUUUCUAUUUUCAUAUCUGAAUUGUACAAUUCCAUGAAGAUUUCCUCAUGGACACCAUGUCCCAACUACAGUGGUAUUGUUUUGCUGGUUCAGCUUCAGUUUCUAUUGUAUUUUAAUUGAAAAGUCAAUAGCCAGAUGUAGUUCUCUAUUUAAAAAAAGGCACUAUUCAAAUAAUGGGUGAGUAGGUGGUCUUUCCUACAAAUUCUGACCUUGCGUAGCUAGAAAACAACCCUUUUGAACUUCUUAAAAGAGUCCUGUACAUUUAUUUUAGGUCGGUUUGAUAUUCAACAUGUAAAGCCUCCCACGUAUCCCCCCCGAGAAGUAUUUCUUACUUCCUUUUGCAAAUAUAGGCACUUGCUUUAGGGAAUAUGUAAAUAAGUUUUUGAAAUACAUCUUCAAACUCCUGCCCCAGCACUAUUAUUUUCUUUUCAAUUUAAAGACUAACUCCAGCACUACCAUUUCUUGAGACAAAGAAACACAUUUCCCAGAUAGAAAAUUCCUGUAGUUGACAAAUCCCACUACUUAACAUUAUUUUUUGAAUCAACAGGAAAUUGAUCCAUUGAUAAUUUUAAUAGGUAUCUAAGAAGAUAAAAACAGGGUGUCAAAUUCCUGUCACUGGCAAUAUCCAUCUCUUUCCUUCUGUAUAGCAGUCAUUUGUAGGGGGUGGGAAUCUCUCUCUCAUCAUGGAGACAUUAUUGAUAUUUGCAAGAGAAAUGAGAGGGCAGCAGUUAUUUUAUUUAUAGGCAAUUCACAUUCUUCCUGCAAACAAUUUUAGCUUCAUAUAAAAAAGCUAAAAUACUGACAUUUUUCACUUCGAAUCCUGCACAUGCUUGCAAGUCACUGUCCCUAAAAUUCUCAUGUUCUCUCCACCCCUACCCCAAAUGCUUCCUUUAUUCCUUCCAGUACAUUCUGGUAAGCUCACCUCUUUGCUGUCUGUAUAAAGGUAAUUGUACUCAUUUCCCAGACUUUCAGUAACUUGUACUUUGACCUUAUUUAAAGUGUGCAAAUAUUUAGUUUGUGAACAAAAUAAAUAAUGUAACCAUUUAUUUGCUGAUUGUUUUCUAGUAAAAAGGUAAUAUUUUAUGUUGCUUAUUUCUAGUUUAAUGUUGCUUAUUUCUAGUUUGUUUCUUAUUCUAGCAGAAUAAGGUAUAAAGACAUGUUUGUUUCCAAAACAGUAGCAGAAUAAGCUGUAAAUAUUGGUGUCUUUUCCCCACUGUAUAUUAUUGCCUCCUUUGUUAUUAAUUGCCCAAUUAAUGUGGGUUCAUUUCUGGACUCUCUAUUCUGUUCCGUUGAUCUAUGUGUCUGCUUUUAUGGCAGUACCAUACUGUUUCUAUGAUGGUAGCUUUGUAGUAGAGUUUGCAAUCAGGGAGCAUUAUGCCUCUAACUUUUUUCUUCUUACUCCAGAUUGUUUUGGCAAUUAUGGGUCCUUUGUUUUUCCAUGCAAAUUUUAAAAUUAUUUGUUCUAGUUCUGUGAGAAUCGACAUUGAUAUUUUGAUAGGGAUUAUAUUGAAUCUGUAGACUACCUUGAGUGGUAUGGUCAUUUUAACAAUAUUAAUUCUUCCAACCCCUGAGCACAGUAUGUUUUUCCACCUGUUUGUGUCCUCUUUAAAUAAGCAGUUCUGGUUAUUCUCACAUUAAAACACCUGAGAAUCUCUGAUUUAUAAUGUGUUAAUAAAGUAAGCUUUAUAUUC
rnacentral:lncRNA from 1 species